AUGUGUUUAAGAGUUUGAUAAAGUUUUUGUGAUAAACGCAUAAAUUUAACUUACGUUAAUACCGAGUUUUGCACUAAAGUUUUCAUGGCGUUAGUGAAGGAGGUUGAACAGGGAGAUUAGCUCCGGAUACAUAAAAAUCGCGGGGUUUUGUGCCAGUCGCGAAAAAAAGUAUUAUUGAAAUGCAAACAGUAUUAACGCCAUUUGAAAAGCUGCAUGCAUCCUAUUGUGCAGUAUUAAGUGGAUGGUUCACGGUGUUAACUUAUAACUUCAUCAUAACUCACUUAUGUCUGUAACGUAAAGCUUGUUAGAGUGCAUUAAUUGAGAGUUGUUAACCCUUAUGUGUGAUGGGCAGAAUAAAAUGCGAUGGAAGCCAUUUGCUGUGAAAAGUGAUGUCUCAUUAUUUUCCCAUCACAGGUAUUAUUUAGGCUACAGCACUACGCAACCACAUGCACGGGCGUGGUGGUUACAUAUCCAACCGAAAACUGAUUUCACCUCGGUUUUUGACAAAUGACUAACAGAGAUUUUGGAUAACAUACUAAUUUUAGCAACUACAAGUAAGUAGAAUAACAGAGCUCCAAAGGAAGACGUCUACGCUGACCGAGGCAGACUACCACAGUCUAGUUGAGGAGCCGAUUUAUUGGCUGCAACAGCCCGAGGUCCAAGAAGACUCCGCGGCUUGUACCCUGGCUGCACACAGGGGAUCUCCUGGGGAGUAUUUCCCUGCCAAAUACCCCUUCUUCGCCGAAGAGGUACGUUUAAACCUGCAGCAGCUCAGGAAUGGGGUAGCAGAGGCGAUGAUGCGGAGGGUGGCCCAAGACAGAGGAAUACCCCCUGGUCUCCUGCUGGAGCUCACAGAGGUGUCCCGACUUCAUUGCAAGAAGCGGAGGAAAAGAAGAAGAAGCGGAAAAGCCGGAGAUGUCAGAAGACACCGGAGGUCUUCUUAGGGGCCGUCUCCAUCUCUGCUGUCUGCCCUGCUAUGUGUCGGGAGGAGCCCCUCCUGAUUCUGAGUCCGGCAGUGUUCGCGCCCGAUGCUGCCAUUGUUUCCCUGUAGCCACCAGAUACUCGCAUGCCUGCGGCCCCCACCAUUUGGUUGACACAUGAGCGUGCGCCUGACGCCGCUGCUAUGCUACCAGCAUCGGCAGCUCACCCCAUCUGGGGUACAUACCUGGUUCUUAAAGGGGUCAGGUCAGUUGGGGAUGCUAUACCACAGGUCCCCAAGGUUCUUAAAGGGGCAACGCCGAUUACUGAGGCACAAAUCCUGCGGUUCCUGUACCAGAGGAUGAUGCUCCACCCCCCGUGGUUCCUGUGUUGGCGGAUGAUACUCCACCCCCCACGGAUCCUGUGACUCCUGUUCUGCCCUCUGAGGUUCCAGUUUUCAUGGUUCCUGCUCUUCCCCCCGAGGUUUCAGUUCCCCCGGCUCCUGUUCCUGAAGAGGACCCUGCCCCAGCUCCUGAUCUCCCGGACUCUGCUCCCUUGUCCCCAACUGUCGGACCAUCGUGCCUCCUCCCUUAGUAGAAAUGGAGGAAAAGCUUGAAUGGGACCCCUUGGGAUUACCCUGACAUCCCCAGUGACUUCUACUCCACUUCCACCCCAACAUGGCAGAUCCUGGCAGGGUCCCCACCUUUUGGUCUCCUGGAAAGGGAGAGGAUACCUGAGCUGGGAUCGUGUCCUGUCCUGCCCCCUGGCUUGCCCUUGGUCUCUUGGGCUGUGGCUCAAGGGGCGCCUGCAGGUCCUCCGGCUCCUGCUCGGCUGUCGCCUGUGGUUCCCCGGGCUCCUGCUCGGCGGUUGCCUGCGGGUUCCUCUCCGAUGCCUCGUCAGUCACCUUCGGCCCUGGCUCCGACACCUCGUCAUCACCUGUGGAUCCCCCACUUCGACUUAUCGGUCGCCUGUGGGCCCUCCCACUCUGGCUCAUUGGUGGAUGGCGCCUUCGGCAGCUGUGGCUGCACCAUCGUCUGCCGCAGCUUCCCCUCCCUCCUUGCCUUCACUGAGGUCCCCUUCACCAUCCUCUGGUGCCCCCUCCGACUUCCUCUUUGCCUCCAUUGCCUGUCCCUCCAUCUGCCUCCUCGCCCCCUGCGAGGUCCCCUCCUGCUCCUAUCUUGCCCCCCACCAAGGGUCCCUCCGGCUCCGGCCUCGAAGUCACCUGCUGCCUCUAUGACUUCCACCUCUCGCCCGCUGGGGUUCCCUCGGGCUCCCAGUUUCCUCCCGUCCUCUACCUUCCUGCCUCCAGGUUUUUUGCCCCCUGUGUCUGCUCCUCAUCCUUCUGUUUCGCCUUCAUUCACUCUUGGUCCCUUCGUUCCUUCCGCUGGUGUUCCCCCAGUGUCUCCUUUCUUGGUGCCCCUGUGCCUUCCCUGUGAUUUGUCAGUGGUUGUCCAGCUUUGUUUGCUUUGUUUUCCAGGUCCUGUGUCCCCGGUCUCAUUCCUUCGCUCCCCUUAAGGGUGCCUGGUGUACAUGCCUUUGGGUGGGAGGGUUCUGUCAUGCCCGAUCCUUCCACUGACCGUAGUCAGUAUCCAACAGCUCUAACAGACCUCUCUACCUUCCAAGGUCUCCAAAAGGACUUAGACUCUGUAGCCUGAGUAUCUGUUACCCUAAAGUCUCUCCGUACCAAGGAUGGCUGGCAUAAUGUGUCAUAACUCAGUACAACAGGCUGCUGUCUCAGUCUCUGUGGUUGUCGUCUUACCCACUGUGGCAAGUCUUUCUGUAGCUCAGAAGUAUCAGCCUCCUCACUCUCCUGACUGAAUGAAGUGCAGGUCAUUGAAACUGUAGUGGCAAAUCCUUUUCUGGCUGAUCCCGUAGAUCCUGCUUGGGCCAAAAGGACUCAGCAAGUCGAUACAAUAAUGAUUUCUGCUGCAAAUCUUCCCUGCUGGUGUCUUGAUGUCACUGUCCCACUGUAUCCUUAAGAGGUAUGACACAGCUGUUCAUUGAUCGAUGAGUCAAGUCUACUUGUCCCUCCAGAGGGAUAACAUUACAGAUGAGGACUGUCAUGGACCUGAAGGUCUCCUCUGUGCACCUUCUUCUUGUAUUAUGUUUUUCCCCGAGCUGAGCUUUUAUUAGCUACCUUGGAUGCAAUGCGAUGGCCCAUGUCCUGGUAUAGCUCUUUGAAAACCAAGGGGUGGUAAAUUCUGGGUAGGAGCAGCUACUCUCUGAUGGAGAUCUUCUGCAUCUUUGUCCAUGAAGAUUCUCAACAACUUUUUUAACACUUUGCAGAUCUGUGCAGGUGUGAAUGAUUGGCCACACCUUCAAUCAAGGGACUUAUGACAUCCUGGCAUCUCUCCUCGGUGCUCUUUAACAUGUAGCUCUCCAAUACAUUAAUCCAAUACUACACUAUUUGUACCCCAAGGAAUGUUCUAGGAAUGUUUACUGAACAUUAUAAUUAAAGAACCAGCGGUACCCAAGGAUUCUCUGAAGAGACACAGUACCGAAGGAGGCCAGUCUUCGUCUCAGUUCACUGGAUAGUGUCCAUGUCUCACAGCCAUACAGCAAGACAGGGAGCACUGGGACUCUAAAGUCUUGGACCUUCAUCCUCUUACAAAGAUAUCGGGAGCCACAUACCCUUUUCCAGUGACCUUAUAACCUCCCCUGCUCUCCCAAUCUGUCUACUGACUACAAAGGAAGGGUCACCAAAGACACGGUUGUCGCUGCCAAGGUGCUGGACCCCACGGCCCUGCCCAACACCCAGUACAUCCAAGCAUUGAACAGAGUAGGAGCAAGAACACACCCCUGGCGAACCCCAGAAUAGUUUUAUAAUGUCACGCACACUGGUCAGGCAAUCACCAUGAGGACCCAGAAGUAGGUGAUCACCCAGAAGAUAAAUAGAGGAACAUUUCAUUCACUCGCCGCUCAGUCAUUGUGAAAUGAUCCUAGCCCUUUCUACCUCCAUCGCCGGUACUGUGCCUUGUGCCGCCCCAACAAGAUGCCUCCCUGGGCGCCAGUCAAUGUGGCCAAUACCUAAAUCCACCAAUAAGCCUAAUACCACACUAUUUGUCCCCCCUUAAGUAAAGUGUUAUCCGCACCACUAGAUCAUCAGCACAUAUCUUCCACAGCUCCAAAUGAUUUACCUCUCCCACUGCCAGCAGAGGGCUGAGUCAGUCAUCAAGGAUGCCAGGCACUCAGCUCAUGCCUCUGCUCAUUCCUGCCCUCUGGAAAAUGCUACCAGUGCAUCACCACCCAUACCACCUGCUUCAGACUGUUUCUUUUCCGAAUCCAUCAAACUGCUAAACUGGUGACCCCUAUUGCAUUAUGUUGCCAUUGUUAAAAUUCCACCUGCACUUUAUCUGCACCUUGUCAUUAUCUUGUCUUGUUUGUCUUGCUCCCCAAUGCCCUACCCUGCAACUGUAGCAUAAGAAUUUUACUGUGUUCUUUGAACACAUAAAAGACAAAACAUAGUUCUUUUCUAAAUCAUAGUGCUUUCCAGAAUGCUUUUGAAUUUUCUUAAUUUUUGGCCAUGGAAACAGAUAAUGGGAGCUGAAACACAACACUGUAGCACAAUCCUGGGAGUUUUCCUGCUUACUCAUGUUGAGUGAGUCAGGGUGUCACAUUUUAGAGAGAAGGAAGGAUUGGCAGAUAGAUAUCCAUUACAUUACACUGAAUUACUUAUUGGCAAAGACUUUUAUUCAGAGUGACAUCAUCUCACUUUCCAUAGUGACCCUUCUUAGCUUCCUGCUUUCUUUCCCUAUUUGAUUAACAUGCCUAACUGCAGCUCUGUAAAAAAUAUACACCUACACUAUAAAAAUCCCACGUAAGACUGCUAUGCUUUUCACAAGCUGUACAAUAAAGGUUUUGCUGAAGAUAAAUAGACGACCUCAAGACUCCUACCCAGCUGUCAUGCCCUGCUUGUCCGAUCCUCCCGUGUGCCACACCCCCUCUACCCCAUGUGGAUUCCCCGUGUUCACCAGCUGUUUCUUGUUGUUAUUAGUCCAGUGUAUUUAAGUCUGCAUUUAAGUAUGUUUCCCCAAUCCGGUCAUUAACGUUGCAUGUUGUUUUGAGUGUAUUAGCCCACAAUAAAUCCCAUUUCACUCGUU